GUGCCAGCCGCCGCGGUAAUACGGAGGGUGCAAGCGUUAAUCGGAAUUACUGGGCGUAAAGCGCACGCAGGCGGUCUGUCAAGUCGGAUGUGAAAUCCCCGGGCUCAACCUGGGAACUGCAUUCGAAACUGGCAGGCUAGAGUCUUGUAGAGGGGGGUAGAAUUCCAGGUGUAGCGGUGAAAUGCGUAGAGAUCUGGAGGAAUACCGGUGGCGAAGGCGGCCCCCUGGACAAAGACUGACGCUCAGGUGCGAAAGCGUGGGGAGCAAACAGGAUUAGAUACCCUGGUAGUCCACGCCGUAAACGAUGUCGAUUUGGAGGUUGUGCCCUUGAGGCGUGGCUUCCGGAGCUAACGCGUUAAAU
rnacentral:rRNA from 1 species